UGAGAAUGCCGGUAUGAGUAGCGCAAGACAGGUGAGAAUCCUGUCCACCGUAAGACUAAGGUUUCCAGGGGAAGGCUCGUCCGCCCUGGGUUAGUCGGGACCUAAGGAGAGGCCGAAUGGCGUAUCCGAUGGACAACAGGUUGAUAUUCCUGUACUAGGUUAUAUAGUGAUUGGAGGGACGCAGUAGGCUAAGGUAAGCCAGUUAAUGGAUUCUGGUCUAAGCAGUGAGGUUUGGUAUGAGUCAAAUGCUUGUACCUAUAAGAUUGAGCUGUGAUGGGGAAGCACUUUCGAGUGCGAAGUACCUGAUGUCACACUGCCAAGAAAAUCUUCUAGCGUUUAAUUAUAACCUACCCGUACCGCAAACCGACACAGGUAGUCGAGGCGAGUAGCCUCAGGUGAGCGAGAGAACUCUCGUUAAGGAACUCGGCAAAAUGACCCCGUAACUUCGGGAGAAGGGGUGCUCUACAUUUGUAGAGCCGCAGUGAAUAGGCCCAAGCGACUGUUUAUCAAAAACACAGCUCUCUGCUAAAUCGUAAGAUGAUGUAUAGGGGGUGACGCCUGCCCGGUGCUGGAAGGUUAAGAGGAGUGCUUAGCGUAAGCGAAGGUAUGAAUUGAAGCCCCAGUAAACGGCGGCCGUAACAAUAACGGUCCUAAGGUAGCGAAAUUCCUUGUCGGGUAAGUUCCGACCCGCACGAAAGGCGUAACGAUUUGGGCACUGUCUCAACGAGAGACUCGGUGAAAUUUUAGUACCUGUGAAGAUGCAGGUUACCCGCGACAGGACGGAAAGACCCCAUGGAGCUUUACUGCAAGUUGAUAUUGAGUAUCUGUUGCACAUGUACAGGAUAGGUAGGAGCCAUUGAUCUGAGGACGCUAGUUUUCAGUGAGGCGAUGUUGGGAUACUACCCUUGUGUCAUGGCUACUCUAACCCGCAUGCCUAAUCGGCAUGGGAGACAGUGUCUGCUGGGCAGUUUGACUGGGGCGGUCGCCUCCUAAAGAGUAACGGAGGCGCUCAAAGUUUCCCUCAGCAUGGUUGGAAAUCAUGCGUAGAGUGUAAAGGUAUAAGGGAGAUUGACUGCGAGACUUACAAGUCGAGCAGGUACGAAAGUAGGACUUAGUGAUCCGGUGGUACCGCAUGGAAGGGCCAUCGCUCAACGGAUAAAAGCUACCCUGGGGAUAACAGGCUUAUCUCCCCCAAGAGUUCACAUCGACGGGGAGGUUUGGCACCUCGAUGUCGGCUCGUCGCAUCCUGGGGCUGUAGUCGGUCCAAAGGGUUGGGCUGUUCGCCCAUUAAAGCGGCACGCGAGCUGGGUUCAGAACGUCGUGAGACAGUUCGGUCCCUAUCCGUCGCGGGCGUAGGAAAUUUGAGAGGAUCUGCCCUUAGUACGAGAGGACCGGGGUGGACUUACCGCUGGUGUACCAGUUGUCUUGCCAAAGGCAUCGCUGGGUAGCUAUGUAGGGAACGGAUAAACGCUGAAAGCAUCUAAGUGUGAAACCAACCUCAAGAUGAGAUUUCCCAUUCUUUAUGAAUUAAGAGCCCUGAG
rnacentral:rRNA from 1 species